GGCCCCAUGGUCAAGUGGUUAAGACACCGCCCUUUCACGGCGGUAACGGGGGUUCGAAUCCCCCUGGGGUCA
rnacentral:tRNA from 1 species